rnacentral:rRNA from 1 species
UACGUAGGGACCGAGCGUUGUCCGGAAUCAUUGGGCGUAAAGAGCGUGUAGGCGGCCAAUUAAGUCCUGCGUGAAAAUCUCGGGGCUCAACCCCCGAGCGGUCGUGGGAAACUGGUUGGCUAGAGUGCGGGAGAGGAGAGUGGAAUUCCUGGUGUAGCGGUGAAAUGCGCAGAUAUCAGGAAGAACACCCGUGGCGAAGGCGGCUCUCUGGAACGCAACUGACGCUGAGACGCGAAAGCGUGGGGAGCAAACAGG